UCAGGCUGCUAACUGGGCAGAAGGAUCCUCCUCCUAUCACCACUGGGCUACACUGGGAAGAGAAAGAGAGAGACGAGCAUACAAAUGAAACCUUUGACCUUCAGAGGAAAGGGAGAAAAACCUGAGAGGAAAAGAGGGAUGUUCAGAGAUGUUUUCCUUGCUGAAUGGUGAGAAGUCUGAGCAGAAACUCAGUUUUCUCUGACUAUUCACUUGAACACAACAUGGGCCAGCUGUUGGAUGUCUCCCAAAACAGAACUCUAACAAGAAUGGAUUUCAGCAUUCAUUCCUGCACACUGCUGCAUUUCAGCAACCUGCUCCUCCUUGUACCACCCAGCCAUUCGGUGCUUAGUCUAAAGACAUCUUAGAAUUGUGCUUUAAAAGACAACUAAUGAACUAAUGCUAGGGGUGCGGGUCAGAACUGAGCUGCCCAUCAGCUGGGUGACAAAGGCUCUCUGCGAAUACCUCUGCCUUCCCAAAGGGAAGAAGGGAGAGAGACUGAUGGGGUGGGAAACCAGCUGGCAUGGGAAGAACAAUCCAAGGAAACAAAGAGACACAAAUCAACAUGGAACCCAAUCCCUGAUGGCAAUGAUGUCGUUGUCAACACUGGUGCUGUGGGCAGGCACUAGGGAAGUCCCAGACUGGACUCAGCAGCAGAGUGGAACUGGAUUCAGGAGCUGAAUUAUAUAAUUUGAUUUAGGAACUCAUGGAUUGGGAUUGAAGGCAAUGGACAGAGUCCUCCUCAGACACCAGCCAUUGAAGAAGAGGCUUGAUCCUUGUGAUCUCUCAGCUUCAUCUUGAAGGUCACAUUCAUGGGAUGGAGUCCCUUGCUGUCAGUUAAUGGUCACCUGUUCCGUCUGCUCCUCCACACAGGUGCCACCUCUGACUUCUUGCACCCCAACAAGGGGUGCAAGAUUUAUCAGUGCCUGUGGUCUUGUACUAGUUUGAAGCUAGCUGGGAUAGUUUGGUGAGAAGAAUUAAAGGCUGUGAAAAGGAAACAAUGAUGAUGUCUGCUCCACUCAUAGGCUUGCUGAGAUGUAUAAGAAAAAGAACACAUACAUAGAUAAGGGAAUUGUUCUCUGAGUCUCUCUCUGGGCUUUGGGCUGAACUUCUCUCUCUAACCUGCCGUCUGUGUGACUAAUCUAUCUGCUUUCUAACCCCCCUGGCCGACCCUCCAAACUUACCCCAGAUCUUGCCUUAUAUUCAAGGUAAGGUAAGAGGGAGGGGAGGAAGGUGGAAGGGUGGUUGAGAGCCCCUCC